rnacentral:rRNA from 1 species
GCUGGCAGCUAGCUCUCUGAAACUUAAGUCCACUUAAGCUAAGCAGGGCUGUGCCUGGUCAGUACCUGGAUGGGAGACCACAUGGGAAAGCUGGGUUGCUGUGGGAA